UCCCACAAUUUCCUUUCUCGUAUUAAUUCUCUCGGGAAAUCCCAUACCUCUAGACUCUGUGUCUCUCUCUACCUCUCAAAGCCUACCUUUUUCUUUCAAUCAAUGACAAUUCCAAUAUCUAUUCACUUCAGCCUUCAGGUAUAUGCCUCUCUCUGCCUUCUUUGGAGCCGCUUCUUCUGACCUGUUCGAUUUAAUUUGAAAGAGCUCUAAAUGAACAAAUUCUCCCAAGGUUUUUGGUUGGUUGGUUUUAGACGCAGUGCAACGUUGUUAAAUUACUCUUGUGUUGAGAGGUCAACAUCAGCAUAUAGUGGUAGUUCUCAUGAAAGUAGUUCAUCUGAAAAGGAAAGUAAUCACAAUGGUGGAGUAGCACGCCAGUCAGAGUUGGAAAGUGAAAAGGAGUGUGAAAACUUGGAAUGUUUGGAUGAGUCAAAUUCUCAGCUUAAAUCUCCAGAGAUCAACAUGGAGUUUAAAAGUGAAGAAAAUGCAUUUGAUUUUUAUCAAAAUUAUGCCUUGAAAAAGGGGUUCACUAUUCGAAAAGAUUGGAAAAAUAAGAACAAGUUGGGGGUGGUAACAAGCAGGAGGUUUUUUUGUAGCAAGCAAGGUUAUUGGAAGCCAGAUAAACGGGAUAAAGGAGUGAAGAAACCACGUAAAGAUACAAAAUGUGGUUGUCGUGCCUUUAUGACCAUCAACUUGAAAGAGAAUGGUAAAUAUGUUAUUGCCCACUUGGAAAAAAAUCACAACCAUGAUCUUGUUAUUCCAAAGAAAAGUACUUUAAAAUCACAGAAAAAGCUUACUAAAGCUCAAGCUACUACAACAGACUUAUCAGAUGAUUCAGGGGAUGCACCCAAAACUACAGUUGAAUUCAUGAGUAGGCAGGCAGGUGAUCAAACAAACAAUGGCUUCCUUUCAUUAGGUUAUAAGAAUUGUCUGCUUACAAAGCGAGAGAGAGCAUUAAAUUUGAGAGAUGCUGCUGCAGUGAUGCAUUAUUUUCAAAAGAAGCAAAAGGAGCAUCCCUCAUUCUACUACGCUAUGCAACUUGAUGUAAGUCAAAAGAUAACAAAUAUGUUUUGGGCAGAUGCUAAGAUGAUUGUUGAUUAUGAAUAUUUUGGUGAUGUGGUAUGUUUUGACACAACAUAUAGAAUGAAUCGUGAAGAUCAUCCAUUGAGUUUGUUUGUUGGUGUUAACCAUCAUAAGCAAUCCAUAAUUUUUGGGGGUGCUCUACUAUAUGAUGAGACUACUGAAUCAUUUGAGUGGUUGUUUCAGACAUUUGUUGAGGCAAUGUCAGGAAAAAGACCAAAGACAAUUCUUACAGAUCAAAGUGUGGCUAUGGCUAAUGCAAUUAAGUCAGUUUUGCCAAAUACAUGUCAUCGUAUUUGUGUGUGGCACAUAUUUCAAAAUGCAAUGAGGAAAAUCAGUUUUGCCUUUCGUCGUGGGUCCACCUUUAGUAGGGACUUCAGUAAAUGUAUAUUUGAUUGUGAGGAUGAGGAAGAGUUUGUACAAGCAUGGAAUAAUAUGCUUGAGGCACAUGAUUUGAAGGAAAACAAUUGGUUGCAAAAGCAAUUUAGUAGCAAAGAGAAGUGGGCUUUGGCUUAUGGGAGGAACACAUUUUGUGCAGAUAUGAAGAGUACUCAACAAAGUGAGAGCAUAAAUAGUGUGUUGAGGAAAGACUUGAACAACAACAUGGAUUUGCUACAAUUCUUAAAGCAUUUGGAAAGGGUUGUAGAUGAUUGUCGCAAUGCAGAAUUAAAUGCUAAUUUUAAGGAUAGCCAAGGUCCUCCAAAGUUAAUGGCAAAGGUGAUGAUGUUGACUGAAGCAGCGUCAAUUUAUACACAUGCUGUUUUUAAGAAGUUUCAAGAGGAGUAUGCUAAAUUGUUGGCAUGUGAUUGUAUUUGUUGUAGUGAGUUUGGUACAGUUUUUACAUACAAAAUUACCAUGGAAGAUGAGCAACGUGAGCACUUGAUUACAUUUGAUUCAUCUAAUGAGACUUUGGAUUGCAGUUGUAGAAAGUUUCAAUUUACUGGGAUUUUGUGUUGUCAUGCAAUAAAAGUUCUCAAUUUUAGAAAUAUAAAAAUGAUACCACGACAUUAUAUCUUGGAAAGGUGGACAAAAUUUGCAAAAGUGGGAAUAGUAAAUGGCUUGCAAAGAUCUGCCAUAGAAGUUGAUCCCAACUUUGAAGUAUCAAGUCGUUAUCAAAUUUUGUGCCCCAUUGUGGUUAAGAUGGUAGCAAGAGCAGCAGAGUCUGAUGCAGCCUUUAAAUAUAUUUUAGGGCAUUGUGAUGAUUGGUUAAAUCGUGUUAACGAUCUCAUUGUUAAUGACCCUCCUAACAAAUAUCCUACUGAGAAGGGGCAUGGCAGUACAGUACAAACUGAAGGUGAAAAAAUUUCCAUAGAUGGGACUGAUUAUUAUGUUAACAUUGAUGAGGGUUCACAAUCUGUACAAGUUCAAGGAAUCGCUCGGAAUGAAGAGUGCUUGCGUGGUAAUAAUAAAAGAACAAAAAUCUGGAAUGAGAAGCUCCCAGCAAGACGUAAGACAAGUUCACAUGUUCCAUCACAAAACACUUCCUCCAAUGUUGACAAUAAUCUUUUGUCUAACUGUUCUGUUAUAGACUCAUCACAGAAUCAAUUUGAACAGAGGCAUUUGGCUUCUUUUAAUAUAAAUGAGAAUCUUCAGGCCUAUCAUCCUGUUACAGUCCCAUCACAGACUCAUGUGGAACAGGAUUCAACACCUCAGUUAUAUGUUUGGGAAUCAAUCUUUAGCAACAAUUCUCAACCAUGUCAGGUAUAAUAAACAGAGCCUUUAUAGUGAAUAUUGUUCAUGUAUGCACUGACUUCCUUGCAUAUAUAGGAGUCUUCGGUGGUUGGAGUUCCACAGAAUAUAAGUGGUGAAAGUUCUGAUGGCUGAAGAGGCUCUGUGUGAAGCUCUAAUGAGGCAAGAGAAACUACUUGAAUACAUAGGCCGUCAAGAAGAAACAACGUUCCAGAGAAAAAAAGCGUGAAGCUUUUGCUGGUGAAUGAGAGAUAGCACCAGAGAAGUUGUGUUGCAGAUUGCACACGAGCAGCGGACUUUGUCUAUAUCCUGUCAUUUCUAUGCAAAUGUUUGAGGUGGUGCUGCAGAUGAGUACAGGGAGAGGCCAUACUGAUAUGGAACUGCGACAUUUCAGGCCAUUGAGGAAUGCAGAGUCUGAUCGAAAAGAUGGAAA